rnacentral:rRNA from 1 species
GGCAAGGGCAGUGUCGAUACAUGCAGUCGAGCGAACAGAUAAGGAGCUUGCUCCUUUGACGUUAGCGGCGGACGGGUGAGUAACACGUGGAUAACCUACCUAUAAGACUGGGAUAACUUCGGGAAACCGGAGCUAAUACCGGAUAAGAUUUUGAACCGCAUGGUUCAAUAGUGAAAGACGGCCUUGCUGUCACUUAUAGAUGGAUCCGCGCCGUAUUAGCUAGUUGGUAAGGUAACGGCUUACCAAGGCAACGAUACGUAGCCGACCUGAGAGGGUGAUCGGCCACACUGGAACUGAGACACGGUCCAGACUCCUACGGGAGGCAGCAGUAGGGAAUCUUCCGCAAUGGGCGAAAGCCUGACGGAGCAACGCCGCGUGAGUGAUGAAGGUCUUCGGAUCGUAAAACUCUGUUAUCAGGGAAGAACAAACGUGUAAGUAACUGUGCACGUCUUGACGGUACCUGAUCAGAAAGCCACGGCUAACUACGUGCCAGCAGCCGCGGUAAUACGUAGGUGGCAAGCGUUAUCCGGAAUUAUUGGGCGUAAAGCGCGCGUAGGCGGUUUUUUAAGUCUGAUGUGAAAGCCCACGGCUCAACCGUGGAGGGUCAUUGGAAACUGGAAAACUUGAGUGCAGAAGAGGAAAGUGGAAUUCCAUGUGUAGCGGUGAAAUGCGCAGAGAUAUGGAGGAACACCAGUGGCGAAAGGCGACUUUCUGGUCUGUAACUGACGCUGAUGUGCGAAAGCGUGGGGAUCAAACAGGAUUAGAUACCCUGGUAGUCCACGCCGUAAACGAUGAGUGCUAAGUGUUAGGGGUUUCCGCCCCUUAGUGCUGCAGCUAACGCAUUAAGCACUCCGCCUGGGGAGUACGACCGCAAGGUUGAAACUCAGA